rnacentral:rRNA from 1 species
UACAGAGGUGGCAAGCGUUGUUCGGAAUUACUGGGCGUAAAGGGCGCGUAGGUGGCCUUCUUAGUCAGACGUGAAAUCCCCAGGCUUAACCUGGGAACUGCGUCUGAUACUGGAAGGCUUGAGUUCGGGAGAGGAAUGUGGAAUUCCAGGUGUAGCGGUGAAAUGCGUAGAUAUCUGGAGGAACACCGGUGGCGAAGGCGGCAUUCUGGACCGGCAUUGACGCUGAGGCGCGAAAGCCAGGGGAGCAAACGGG